UACAGAGGGGGCAAGCGUUAUUCGGAAUUAUUGGGCGUAAAGGGCGCGUAGGCGGCUUGGCAAGUGGAAGGUGAAAUCCCUCGGCUUAACCGAGGAACUGCCCUCCAAACUGCUUGGCUUGAGACCGGGAGAGGUGAGUGGAAUUCCCAGUGUAGCGGUGAAAUUCGUAGAUAUUAGGAAGAACACCAGUGGCGAAGGCGGCUCACUGGUCCGGUACUGACGCUGAGGUGCGAAAGCGUGGGGAGCAAACAGG
rnacentral:rRNA from 1 species